rfam:Schistosoma rodhaini strain Burundi genome assembly, scaffold: SROB_scaffold0012528
AUCUAACUGACGAGUCCCAAAUAGGAUGAAACGCAUGUCCUGUAU